CAAACAGCUGGUUAGACAUGCUGAUGUUAAAGAACUCCCACCGAUAAACCAACAAAUUGGUUUUGUGAAAGUAUGGAUCUGAUCUUUCCAGCUGUUGAUAUGCAAUCUUUAUUAAUGACACGUUGGCAGUAUCAGUAGCAAUAAUGAUAUCUGAACACUGUCCUGUAUCCUCCUAUGAUCUCCGUAUGUGUUUUUCCAUCUGAAACAUGAUCUUUUAUUUUUAAGUUUAUCAGCAGAGAACUGACUGAUAGUUUUGGGUAGAUGUGUUGCAGGACUGAAGACUCGGAGACACGACGGAGCUCAACAUUUCCCUCUUGUGCUUCGCUGUUGAACCGCUUAGGAAUACCGCCGAGGAGAGAUUAAAGCAAAUCCGAGGAAGGCUAGGACAUGAAAUGAUGCACUGGAGCCAGUAUCGUGCUUCAGUGGGGGACUUCAGUGUGCAAACUGGAGUAGUCAGGGAGUGGACCAGUGACGUUCUGACUGAUCCACUCUACCACAGUCCCCCACAAGGAGGCCGGCCACAAAUGGAGAGGAGGUCUGCAGUCUAACGGCAGUUCCUCGAGCCUUCAGAGUGCCUCUCCGGUUAAAGCAGGACAGCAGCUUUGAGCUGCACAACCACACCGCCUCCACCUUUAUAGCCUGG
ensembl:lncRNA